CCUCCCUCGCCUACCAGCCCUCCCUCCCCUCCCUCCCCUCCCGGGCCUCCCUAGCCUACCUGGACUGCCUCCUCUACCGCCAUACUAGUCACUAAUCAGUAGUUAUGUCAGUCGAAAUGGAGAAGUGGUUGAUGAAUGGUUGAUCAAAGCUGUGCCGUCCCCGAUAUUUUAAUGGCUUAAAGCAUUAGAAUAUGUGGCCCUCUUAUAAUAAAAUAAAAUAAAAUUUAACAUAUUAUUUAAAAUUAGAAAUUACAAAAACUAUAAUAUAUCAAUACAAUUUUAUUUCUGAAAAACAUAUCUUGUAGCUUUUCUUCCAGAAAAUAUGUUUAUAAUCUUUUCGUAGCCAAGUUUAUCAAACUUUCAAUAGAUAUCAUUGAUAACCCAUUAAACCUCUCUUGUGACAUGGUAGAUCGUAGAUAAUUUUCUUUCAAUUUCAAUAUGGAAAAAAUAUUUCCGCAGUGGCAACAUAACCCCGGUUUGUAAACAAUAUUCGUUAAGCAAUCCAUGAAUAAUCCAGGUAAAAAUUCUACAUUGUUUUCAAAGAUUUCAAUACUUCAUAAGCGCUUUUAACUUCUGCUGGUAGUACCAUUCUUAGAAUUUUAAGCUCAGAACAUAGAUCUUCCAUAUUUACAUCUGAAUGUUCACCAUGCCUACG
rnacentral:lncRNA from 1 species